UGACUUCUGAGGAAACUGGGAUGCAGCAAAAAUGUCGGAUCUGUUGUGAGUGAAAGAUAGUAAGAGACGCCAAGACCUAGAAAUAACAGCGUUUCAGUUACCAAGUCGGAGAAAAGCAAACUCAGAGGCGGAAACAAGCUUGCCUUGUUCGGAAACAAGGCAAGCGCUAAAAUAACUUUCGGAGAUGUAGCUGUCUUGUUUCCACCUCCAAUUUAGCUUUUUUCCGACUUGGUAGCUGAAGUGCUGGGGACUCAGAUGUGACAUCAUUUUCAUCUCGGACUUCUGACUUCCUAGGAAAUUUGAACGCAGCAUGAGUGUUGAGAUGCUGAUUCUGGAGAGCCGGAUUAUUGAAGGUCCGAGAGCAGCGGGCUCUCAGAAUGUGCUGUCCCAGAAUGUCGGGUUCUAUUAACAGGUUCUGGAAUAACAUAGUCUGGGUUUUAGAAUCCCAGGUUCUGGAACGCCCAGGUCCUGGGCUGGAUUCCAGAUACUGGAACUUUUUAAUACUGGGUGUUGCAAUGCUGGAUCCUACAUUUCCUGAUGUUGUGGUACUAAAUUCAAGAGUGCCGGUACCAAAACUGGUGUUCUGGUGCACUUGACUCCAUAAUAUUGAGUUCCAGUGUUCUGGGUUCUGGAGCGGAGGGCUUUGAGGUCCUGGGCUGAGGUGUUCUGGAGUUGAAUUAAAAAGUAAAAGAGACAGAAAUCAGGUUAGACAGAGAAAGAGAGAGAGAAAGAGAGAGGAGAUGAAUAAAUAAGAGUGUGUGUAAUCAUCAAGGACUGAAGUGCACACACACACACAGGCGCUCCGAGAACAGCCUGACAUACAUUUAUAGAUAAAACAGUUUGGCAGCAGAGACGCUGUUGCAUUGUGGGAAAAUUUAGGUUGAGUGCAGAAGCAGAAACUGUCAGACUGUGAAGAUGGAGAUGAAAUCCAAAAGUCAGUUUUUCUCGCCGAACACGCAGAGAUGAUGUUUCCUCCGAUUCUCUGGGGGGCCUCCGCACAUGCUCACUGCAGUUUUCUGUGGGGAGGGGGGACCAUACUACAACUCCUGAAGAGUGCGAGUGCUGCUGCUUUGAAGGGAUAUUCCCUCUUGAAGUAAUUUGAGGUCAAACAAACUGUAGACACCCCCUCCAGAGAUGAAUGUUGCUGACCGCUUACUUCUUUAGUUAUACCAACUUUUGUAAUGACUGCAGGAUAGCAAUACCGAGAGCUACACGAGACCUCAGGCCAGUCCGUUUCAGACUACAGGGGCUGACGCAGCUCAAGGAAGAACAUUUAUGAUCAUUUCUUUAUCAUUUCCUUGAAGUAAUAAUCACCAUAUUAAUCAUUUUGCACUGCAGACACGGUAGUUAUUCUGCCUUAGCGUCUCAGUCUGAUUGUAUUUCCAUGAAGAAAUGAUCAUAAAUGUUCUUCCUUGAGCUGCGUACAUCCAGGAUUUUUCCUGGGUUGCCAGACCCAUCUAUGAGCUGCUCCAAAACAAGCCAGGGCAGGCCCAAAUCCCAACACGUGGUAGAAACCCCAAACACCCACAGUUGCCCUCCAGAGAGCCCAUAGACAGGACCGCUGAACACGACAAAGCCCUCGAACAACUGGUACACCUCUUCACAAGUCCCCCUGUCUUAGCAUACCCUGAUUUUAACCACCCCUUUAGGCUGCACACUGACGCCUCAGAUCAGGGCUUAGGAGCUGUUCUGUAUCAGCAUUAAAAUGGGAAAUUAAGAGUCAUUUGAUAUGGAUGAAGGACGUUGUCACCAGCCGAACGCAGUUACCACCUACACAGUGGAAAAUUGGAGUUCCUCACAUUAAAAUGGGCUAUUUGUGAGAAGUUGCGCGAUUUCCUGUACUAUGCUCCGCACUUCACUGUCUUUACCAAGAAAUGCCCGUUGAUCUAUGUCAUGAGUACAGCCAAGCUCAAUGCAGUCGGUCAUCGGUGGGUGGGGGAACUCGCAGACUUCCACUUUGAUGUGAAAUACAGGCCCGGGAAGUCAAACAUCGACGCAGACACACUAUCUCGCCUGCCCCCAGCUGGACUGGCCUGAGGUCUCCGUUCAAACAAGUGGCUGCUGGAAGAGAGUAGGUGAGAUGGGGAGAUUUUUUUUUUUUUCAUUAUCAUGUGAUUGACUUAAUAUGUAAACUGAGCACUUCAGAAAUCGGCCCUUUAAAUGACACUUGGACGGUCAGCAAAUCAUCCUGGCUCCUUCGCCGACGAGAACCAAUCAUAGGCCAAACUAUUCCAAUCAUGCGCACACUCUUCACGUGUACUUGGAGUACUUGGAGAGCCUGUGGUAGCAUAGGACUUAUCCACGCCGGUGUUGUGCCGUAGAAUGCACCCCUGUCGUAGAAUGCCCCCCUGACGAGAGCGCGGUUAGGGUUUUCCUUACCGUUGGACGGAUUCAAAAGCGUGUGCCUUCAAUGACUUCAUUCAGGUUCUAGAACUUGUUGUCCUAUGCUUUGGCCCAUGCUUGAAGCCUUUUGUGACAAAAUAAAAACAUGUGAACCCUGGUCUUUUUAACACUCCUUUUCGCCGCUGAUGUUAUUCAUUGAUUCAUUAAAACGUAAUGGUUUUGAGCCAUCUAAAAUAGCGAAAGCAGGCGUCUCGCAUUUACUGCUCUGCAGGGCUCUCAAGUCUCACGCAUUCAGCGUGUGACACACGCAUUCCCACCCGUUCACACGCCACACAUUGUAUUUCUCACGCAUUUAUUUGAACAUGGUGAUGUCCACAAAGUUGCACCUCUGUAACAAUGGAACAGGUAGAAAUCAACUGAGUUCCUGCGAGAGUUCAGAAGCUGCGUGCCACGCACAAGCCAAGUAUAUAUACUGAACAGCCAAUCAAAAAGCAGCAUUGCUGUAUCCGGGUAGAUUUUGAUAUCUUGCGGUUUGACUACAGAAGAAGACAGACACUCGCCGAAAUAGAGCAGGUUUUUAUAAGGACGAGAAAGACCCGAUGAUUACAGUAAGUCAGUAACCUACACAUGCAGAGACCUCAACACCUCAUGGCAGAUAAACUCAUAUGAUAAACUAAAGCCCUAUGCUAUUGCUAUUAACAGCUGUAUUGAUGAAUUUAGCCUCUGUACAGCCAUUUCCAGCCAUUUUCCCCUCCACAAAAGCAGCAUUUGAGUGUAACGCUCAUGUACCAAAGGAUUAAGUAUCUCCAUGUUUGUGAAACCUAUACUAAAGUACAAUUCAUCUAAAUGCUCCUCAGAUACUCCUUCAGAAGUUCUUAUCAGAUAACCCAGAGGGAGCAUGUAGAGGGAAAACAACAGAGGGCCCAGGACAGAACCCUGAGGGACUCCACCGGACAGGGUCCCAACUGCAGAGACAAAUAUGUAACUGAAAAAGAUCUACCAGGAAAGUCAGAGGAAAACCAGUCUAAUGCUGUUCCAAAGAUACCAACCCACUGUCUGAGAUGCCGGAUCAACACACUGUGCUCCACAGUAUCGAAGGCUGCGCAACAUUAUCAUCCUUUUCAAAUAAGAAAGCUGAGAUUCUGUGUGAGGACGGUCUUUGUCUGUUUUUGUCGAUCAUUAAAAAAAAAAAAAAAGAUCACUCUGCUGUCCUCUUCCUCUGUAUCAGCAUCUUCAUUAUCCUCUCUCUUUACUCUCUGUCAGUGUGGUCAUUCUCGUCUUCAUCGCUCUGGCGCUGACUCAGCCUGAAGGUUUCCUGGACCGCUGUGACAUCACUGAUGGUGUCAUCGGCGGUCUUGUAUUACACCCUCUCUCAGCCUGGUGUGUGUUUUCUCUUUCAGCGGUAAUGAAGUCCUCCUGUCUGUCAGGUAAACAAACAUCAGUCAGGUCCGUUAGUUUUGAUUUUUGUCUUUCACUGAAAACUGAAGCAGCAGAAUUCAUCAGGAUAUUUUUAUAUUAUAGAUAAACUGAAGAAACUUUAUAUAUUUAAAGAUAAACUGAAGAAACUUUAUAUAUUUAUAGAUAAACUGAAGAAACUUUACAUAUUUAUAGAUAAACUGAACAAACUAUAUAUUUAUAGAUAAACUGAACAAACAUAUAUUUAUAGAUAAACUGAACAAACUUAUAUAUUUAUAGAUAAACUGAACAAACUAUAUAUUUAUAGAUAAACUGAACAAACUUUAUAUAUUUAUAGAUAAACUGAAGAAACUUUAUCCCCUGAAAUCACCUUAACCUGCUUUAUCACCAUAAUGUUAUUAACAGGUUUGUUGUCGAUGUGACUCUGUCCUUAAAACACUCACUGUAAAGUUGGAUUUAGAGACUUUAUCACAAUUUGAUAUUAGACUUUUGUAAAACUCAGUCAAAUGUCUGAAGUUAAAACUGGGAAAUUAAAUUAUUUUAGAAGAAUAUCUGCCUAUUUUAAAUUUGAUACAGCAACAUGUUUUUAAAAAGGUUCUUAUAGGGGAAAAGCCAAGCCAGUAAAAAGUUGUAAUACUAAAAUGUUUUUUCUAUUUAAAUGCAUUCUAAAUUUACAUUUAUGUAAUUUUCUAUUUUAUACGACAGAGUAUUAGGGCCACAUCAAGAAAGAAAAAUUAAGACUUUGAGAUUAAAGUCAUAAACUUAGGGGAAUUAAGUCUAAAAAAAGUAAUUACUUACAAGAGUAAAAUCGUAAAAAAGGUCUUAUAAUCUAACCUGCUGUUUAAGAUGACAGUUGUUGAAAUUAGAGUCAUGGAGCAUUUCAUAAAAAAAUUUUCUUUAAUAUAUAUUUCUCAAACAAGGAGAUACUUCAUCUUUUGGCAUAUCAGCACCA